UACGUAGGGUGCAAGCGUUGUCCGGAAUUACUGGGCGUAAAGCGCACGUAGGCGGAUCGAUCAGUCAGGGGUGAAAUCCCAGGGCUCAACCCUGGAACUGCCUUUGAUACUGUCGAUCUGGAGUAUGGAAGAGGUGAGUGGAAUUCCGAGUGUAGAGGUGAAAUUCGUAGAUAUUCGGAGGAACACCAGUGGCGAAGGCGGCUCACUGGUCCAUUACUGACGCUGAGGUGCGAAAGCGUGGGGAGCAAACAGG
rnacentral:rRNA from 1 species